CAGUCGCCACGGUAAUACGUAGGUGGCAAGCGUUGUCCGGAAUUAUUGGGCGUAAAGGGCUCGCAGGCGGAUCGUUUAGUCAGGGGUGAAAUCCCGGGGCUCAACCUCGGAACUGCCUUUGAUACUGGCGAUCUUGAGUACGGGAGAGGUGUGUGGAACUCCGAGUGUAGAGGUGAAAUUCGUAGAUAUUCGGAAGAACACCAGUGGCGAAGGCGACACACUGGCCCAUUACUGACGCUGAGGCUCGAAAGCGUGGGGAGCAAACAGGAUUAGACACCCCCGUAGUCCCUGUCUCUUAUAC
rnacentral:rRNA from 1 species